rfam:Triticum aestivum genome assembly, contig: Triticum_aestivum_CS42_TGACv1_scaffold_195792_3AL
CUAGUACUCCGUCCAUCCCAAAAUUCUUGUCGUAGAUUUCUCUAUAUACGGAUGUAUCUAACACUAAAACUUAACUAGAUACAUCCGUAUUUAGACAAAUCUAAGACAAGAAUUUUGGAACGAAGGAAGUACUUA